rnacentral:rRNA from 1 species
GUAUACAAUCUGCCUUGUACUGGGGGAUAGCCUUUAGAAAUGAAGAUUAACACCCCAUAACAUAUUUAGGCCGCAUCGUCUUUAUAUUAAAGGUUACGGUACAAGAUGAGUAUGCGUCCUAGUUAGCUAGUUGGUAUGGUAACGGCAUACCAAGGCAACGAUAGGUAGGGGCCCUGAGAGGGGGAUCCCCCACACUGGUACUGAGACACGGACCAGACUCCUACGGGAGGCAGCAGUGAGGAAUAUUGGACAAUGGGGGGAACCCUGAUCCAGCCAUGCCGCGUGCAGGAAGACUGCCCUAUGGGUUGUAAACUGCUUUUGUACGGGAAGAAACCGCUCUACGCGUAGAGCCUUGACGGUACCGUAAGAAUAAGCAUCGGCUAACUCCGUGCCAGCAGCCGCGGUAAUACGGAGGAUGCAAGCGUUAUCCGGAAUCAUUGGGUUUAAAGGGUCCGUAGUGGGCCGGUCAGUCAGAGGUGAAAUCCUGCAGCUCAACUGUAGAACUGCCUUUGAUACUGCCGGUCUUGAAUCGUUGUGAAGUGGUUAGAAUAUGUAGUGUAGCGGUGAAAUGCAUAGAUAUUACAUAGAAUACCGAUUGCGAAGCAGAUCACUAACAGCGUAUUGACACUGAUGGACGAAAGCGUAGGUAGCGAACGGGAUUAGAUACCCCGGUAGUCUACGCCGUAAACGAUGGAUACUAGCUGUCCGGCUUCGGCUGGGUGGCUAAGCGAAAGUGAUAAGUAUCCCACCUGGGGAGUA